rnacentral:misc_RNA from 1 species
GAUGAAGAACGCAGCGAAAUGCGAUAAGUAGUGUGAAUUGCAGAAUUCAGUGAAUCAUCGAAUCUUUGAACGCACAUUGCGCCCCUUGGUAUUCCAUGGGGCAUGCCUGUUCGAGCGUCAUUUGUACCUUCAAGCUUUGCUUGGUGUUGGGUGUUUGUCUCGCCUUUGCGUGUAGACUCGCCUUAAAAUAAUUGGCAGCCGGCGUAUUGAUUUCGGAGCGCAGUACAUCUCGCGCUUUGCACUCAUAACGACAGCGUCCAAAAGUACAUUUUACACUCUUGACCUCGGAUCAGGUAGGGAUACCCGCUGAACUUAAGCAUAUCAAAGCGGAGGA